rnacentral:tRNA from 1 species
AGUUCAACCCUUAUCUUCCUAA